GACGAACGCUGGCGGCGUGCUUAACACAUGCAAGUCGAACGGAAAGGCCCUGCUUUUGUGGGGUGCUCGAGUGGCGAACGGGUGAGUAACACGUGAGUAACCUGCCCUUGACUUUGGGAUAACUUCAGGAAACUGGGGCUAAUACCGGAUAGGAGCUCCUGCUGCAUGGUGGGGGUUGGAAAGUUUCGGCGGUUGGGGAUGGACUCGCGGCUUAUCAGCUUGUUGGUGGGGUAGUUGCUUACCAAGGCAUUGACGGGUAGCCGGCCUGAGAGGGUGACCGGCCACAUUGGGACUGAGAUACGGACCAGAGUCCUACGGGAGGCAGCAGUGGGGAAUAUUGCACAGUGGGCGGGAGCCUGAUGCAGCGACGCCGCGUGCGGGAUGACGGCCUUCGGGUUGUAAACCGCUUUCGCCUGUGACGAAGCGUGAGUGACGGUAAUGGGUGAAGAAGCACCGGCUAACUACGUG
rnacentral:rRNA from 1 species